ensembl:rRNA 5S_rRNA 5S ribosomal RNA
GCUUACGGCCAUACACCCUGAACACGCCCGAUCUCGUCAGAUCUCGGAAGCUAAGCAGGGUCGGGCCUGGUUAGUACUUGGAUGGGAGACCGCCUGGGAAUACCAGGUGCUGUAAGCU